GGGGAAUAUUGGACAAUGGGCGAAAGCCUGAUCCAGCAAUGCCGCGUGAGUGAAGAAGGCCUUCGGGUUGUAAAGCUCUUUUACCCGGGAAGAUAAUGACUGUACCGGGAGAAUAAGCCCCGGCUAACUCCGUGCCAGCAGCCGCGGUAAUACGGAGGGGGCUAGCGUUGUUCGGAAUUACUGGGCGUAAAGCGCACGUAGGCGGUCUUUUAAGUCAGAGGUGAAAGCCCGGGGCUCAACCCCGGAAUUGCCUUUGAAACUGGGAGACUUGAACACGGGAGAGGUGAGUGGAAUUCCGAGUGUAGAGGUGAAAUUCGUAGAUAUUCGGAGGAACACCAGUGGCGAAGGCGGCUCACUGGACCGUUGUUGACGCUGAGGUGCGAAAGCGUGGGGAGCAAAC
rnacentral:rRNA from 1 species